GGCUGCAACUCGCCUGCAUGAAGCCGGAAUCGCUAGUAAUCGCGGAUCAGCACGCCGCGGUGAAUACGUUCCCGGGCCUUGUACACACCGCCCGUCACACCACGAGAGUUUGUAACACCCGAAGUCGGUGAGGUAACCUUUUGGAGCCAGUCGCCUAAGGUGGGAUAGAUGAUUGGGGUGAAGUCGUAACAAGGUAGCCGUAUCGGAAGGUGCGGCUGGAUCACCUCCUUUCUAAGGAA
rnacentral:rRNA from 1 species